GAACAGCAGAUCUGGUGACCAUCGAAAGUGAAGAGGAACGAGUUUACAUUAAUGGGCUGGCGAGAUUUGGUUGGAUUGGACUACAAAGACAUACGGUCUGGACGUGGGUGAAUGGUAGAGCACUCUCCAGAGGGCCCGUGUUCUGGGAACCUGGACAGCCCAACAGCAACACAGAGAAUUGUGUUCUGUCCAGCCCAAACGUGGAGGACCCCACCUCCAACUGGCAUGACUAUCCAUGCUCCUCUACGUUUUACCCCAUUUGUGAAAAAUCAGCUAACUAAUUCAGGAAGAAAUUACUGUCCCACAUUCUAAGGCAAGAUAAUGAAUGUUGAUUUAAAAGAC